rnacentral:rRNA from 1 species
UACAGAGGGUGCGAGCGUUAAUCGGAAUUACUGGGCGUAAAGCGUGCGUAGACGGUUAUUUAAGUCGGGUGUGAAAGCCCCGGGCUCAACCUGGGAAUUGCAUUCGAGACUGAAUAGCUAGGGUACGGUAGAGGGAAGUGGAAUUUCCGGUGUAGCGGUGAAAUGCGUAGAUAUCGGAAGGAACAUCAGUGGCGAAAGCGGCCAACUGGGCCGGACCUGACGCUGAGGCGCGAAGGCGUGGGGGAGCGAACGGG